rnacentral:rRNA from 1 species
AGUGAACGCUGGCGGUAGGCCUAACACAUGCAAGUCGAACGGCAGCACAGUAAGAGCUUGCUCUUACGGGUGGCGAGUGGCGGACGGGUGAGGAAUACAUCGGAAUCUACUUUUUCGUGGGGGAUAACGUAGGGAAACUUACGCUAAUACCGCAUACGACCUACGGGUGAAAGCAGGGGAUCUUCGGACCUUGCGCGAUUGAAUGAGCCGAUGUCGGAUUAGCUAGUUGGCGGGGUAAAGGCCCACCAAGGCGACGAUCCGUAGCUGGUCUGAGAGGAUGAUCAGCCACACUGGAACUGAGACACGGUCCCGAAUCCUACGGGAGGGAGCAGGUGGGAAAAUUGGACAAUGGGGGGAAACCUGAUCCAGCCAUACCGCGUGGGGGAAAAAGGCCUUCGGGUUGUAAAGCCCUUUUGUUGGGAAAAAAAAGCAGCAGGUUAAUACCCCGCUGUUCUGACGGUACCCAAAGAAUAAGCACCGGCUAACUUCGUG